GGCUCCAUAAUGUAGUGGUUAGCACGUCUGUUUUACAUGCAGAAAGUUCUAGAGGGCCUGGGUUCACACCCCAGGUGGAGCCA
rnacentral:tRNA from 1 species